UAGGAAGUAAUAUAGUGGGAGUAUGGAGGGUUUUGAUCUCUUCUGAAUAGGUUCGAUUCCUAUCUUCCUAA
rnacentral:tRNA from 1 species